rnacentral:rRNA from 1 species
CCUACGGGUGGCUGCAGUGGGGAAUAUUGCACAAUGGGCGCAAGCCUGAUGCAGCCAUGCCGCGUGUGUGAAGAAGGCCUUCGGGUUGUAGAGCACUUUCAGCGGGGAGGAAGGCGUUAAGGUUAAUAACCUUGGCGAUUGACGUUACCCGCAGAAGAAGCACCGGCUAACUCCGUGCCAGCAGCCGCGGUAAUACGGAGGGUGCAGGCGUUAAUCGGAAUUACUGGGCGUAAAGCGCACGCAGGCGGUCUGUCAAGUCGGAUGUGAAAUCCCCGGGCUCAACCUGGGAACUGCAUUCGAAACUGGCAGGCUAGAGUCUUGUAGAGGGGGGUAGAAUUCCAGGUGUAGCGGUGAAAUGCGUAGAGAUCUGGAGGAAUACCGGUGGCGAAGGCGGCCCCCUGGACAAAGACUGACGCUCAGGUGCGAAAGCGUGGGGAGCAAACAGGAUUAGAUACCCUUGUAGUC